rnacentral:rRNA from 1 species
CCUACGGGCGGCAGCAGUGAGGAAUAUUGGUCAAUGGGCGCGAGCCUGAACCAGCCAAGUCGCGUGAGGGAAGACGGUCCUAUGGAUUGUAAACCUCUUUUGUCGGGGAGCAAAAGACGCCACGUGUGGCGUUCCGAGAGUACCCGAAGAAAAAGCAUCGGCUAACUCCGUGCCAGCAGCCGCGGUAAUACGGAGGAUGCGAGCGUUAUCCGGAUUUAUUGGGUUUAAGGGGUGCGCAGGGGGAAGAUCAAGUCAGCGGUAAAAUUGAGAGGCUCAACCUGUUCGAGCCGUUGAAACUGGUUGUCUUGAGUGAGCGAGAGGUAUGCGGAAGGCGUGGUGUAGCGGUGAAAUGCAUAGAUAUCACGCAGAACUCCGAUUGCGAAGGCAGCAUACCGGCGCUCAACUGACGCUCAUGCACGAAAGUGUGGGUAUCGAACAGGAUUAGAUACCCUUGUAGUC